rnacentral:rRNA from 1 species
GCCCACUCAGGAGAAGGAACUCGGCAAAUUGACACCGUAACUUCGGAAGAAGGUGUGCCUUUAGUAGGUGAACCUGUACAAGGGGAGCCAAAUGAGGCCGCAGAGAAUCGGUGGCUGCGACUGUUUAAUAAAAACACAGCACUCUGCUAACACGAAAGUGGACGUAUAGGGUGUGACGCCUGCCCGGUGCCGGAAGGUUAAGUGAUGGGGUGCAAGCUCUUGAUCGAAGCCCCGGUAAACGGCGGCCGUAACAAUAACGGUCCUAAGGUAGCGAAAUUCCUUGUCGGGUAAGUUCCGACCUGCACGAAUGGCGUAACGAUGGCCACACUGUCUCCUCCUGAGACUCAGCGAAGUUGAAAUGUUUGUGAUGAUGCAAUCUCCCCGCGGCAAGACGGAAAGACCCCAUGAACCUUUACUGUAGCUUUGCAUUGGACUGUGAACCGAUCUGUGUAGGAUAGCUGGGAGGCUUUGAAGCGGUGCCGCUAGGUGUCGUGGAGCCAACCUUGAAAUACCAGCCUGGUUUGUUUGCGGUUCUAACCUUGGCCCGUUAUCCGGGUCGGGGACAGUGCAUGGUAGGCAGUUUGACUGGGGCGGUCUCCUCCUAAAAGGUAACGGAGGAGCUCGAAGGUUCGCUAGGUACGGUCGGACAUCGUACUGAUAGUGCAAUGGCAUAAGCGAGCUUAACUGCGAGACUGACAAGUCGAGCAGGUGCGAAAGCAGGACAUAGUGAUCCGGUGGUUCUGAAUGGAAGGGCCAUCGCUCAACGGACAAAAGGUACUCUGGGGAUAACAGGCUGAUUCCUCCCAAGAGUUCAUAUCGACGGGGGAGUUUGGCACCUCGAUGUCGGCUCAUCACAUCCUGGGGCUGUAGCCGGUCCCAAGGGUAUGGCUGUUCGCCAUUUAAAGUGGUACGUGAGCUGGGUUUAAAACGUCGUGAGACAGUUUGGUCCCUAUCUGCCGUGGGCGCUGGAAAUUUGAGGGGGCCUGCUCCUAGUACGAGAGGACCGGAGUGGACGCACCUCUGGUGUACCUGUUGUCACGCCAGUGGCAUCGCAGGGUAGCUAUGUGCGGAAGAGAUAAACGCUGAAAGCAUCUAAGCGUGAAACUCGCCUCAAGAUGAGAUUUCCCGGGAACUUGAUUCCCCUAAAGGGUCGUUCGAGACCAGGACGUUGAUAGGUCAGGUGUGGAAGCGUGGUAACACGUUAAGCUAACUGAUACUAAUUGCCCGUGCGGCUUGAUCCC